rnacentral:rRNA from 1 species
GUCUAAGGCCAUACCACCCUGAAUGCACCUGAUCUUGUCUGAUCUUAGAAGCUAAGCAGGGUCAAGACUGGCUGAUGGGAGAUCACCUGGGAAUACACCUUAGUGCUGUAUGCUUUUGAGU